ACAGAGCAUUGCUCUGUCACCCAGGCUGGAGUGCAGUGGCAUGAUCUCAGCUCACUGCAACAUCUGCCUCCCAGGUUCAAGGGGUUCUCCUGCCUCAGCCUCCUGAGUUGCUGGGACUUCAGCCUCCUGAGUUGCUGGGACUACAUGUGCACACCACCAUGCCCGGUAAUUUUUGUAUUUUUAGUAGAGAUGGGGUUUCACCAUGUUGGCCAGGCUGAUCUUGAACUUCUGACCUCUAGUGAUCCGCCCACCUGGGCCUCCCAAAGUGCCGGGAUUACAGGCUGAGCCACUGUGCCUGGCCUGAUCCAAGACUUUAUAAAGACAUGUAAGAGGGUGGGAGACAGAAAGCGGAAAAGGAUACAUCAAAACUAGCAAUGGAUGAAUGAGAACAUGUCCAGCCUCCAGUUAAGGCAACUGUGGCUUCAAAAAGGAAUCUUAAAUACCAGCACAGAAAUCAGAGGGAUCCUAACCUGGCUCAAAACAGAAGAGAAACAGUGGCUGGCCAUACAGCAGGACGGGCAUAACUAACAGAAUACCAGCUUUCCAGCCAUUGUUUCAUCCCUCAGCGAUACCACCUGCUUCCGCGUGGAACCCAAACCCCCAGGAAACUAAAUCUGCUCAGGUCACCCACCUAGGAAUAAAUAAAAACAGGUUUCAGGCCCU
ensembl:lncRNA novel transcript, antisense to RUSC2